AGCAACACACACACACAUUAAUAUGUUUCAGUUGGUGAAACAAAGAUUUCACUCAACAACCUCCAAUCUCCUUCUCCUUCUAGAUCCUCUUUCUCUCCUGCUCUUCCCCCUGAAGCUGGUUUCAAUUUAAUGAAUCACCAUUCACCACAGUUGUGCAAUCCCUGACACACACACCCACGUUGGUGCGGCUAUCCUUGAGGACUCUCCAUAGACAUAAUGGUUUUUAUACUGUACGAACUAUAGAUUCUAUCCCCUAACCCUACCCCUAAACCUAACCCUCACAAAAAACUUUCUGCAUUUUUACAUUUUCAAAAAAACAUUGUUUAGUAUGUUUAAAUCAUUUGAAUUAUGGGGACACUAGAAAUGUCCUCAUAAACCACAUUUAUAGCAUAAUGCCCUUGUAAUUACCAGUUUGUAACCUAAAACAAUUUCUCUUAAACCACCCAAACCCUUGCACCCUUGGUUCCAUCCACUGGUGUUCACAGUCAGUCACACAGGUGAAGAGGAGGGAGGGCCUGUCAUGUGAGAUUCAUCUACAGCAAAGCGGACUUGCACAGGAAACCUUCAUGUGCUUAAUGUUUUUUUCUACACUAGAUGAACGGCUUCGACUGUUAUCAUGCAUCUUGCGCCACUUUUAAAAGAUGCAAAAUCAAGUUCAAACUCUAUAUAGGAGACUUCCAUUGUGUUUCAUUCAGCUGUGCUGUUUCCUGUUGUUUUGAAGGUGUCCUGGACCAUUUUUGCACCCAUCUGUGCUAUAUUUAAUUGUUGUUUUUUUUGUAAGCAUGCACUAUAUGCACUAUAUGAUUGUUUUGAUGCGUUUCCGGUGACGUGUGCAACGUUUUAGGAGCGGUACAAGCACAACUUUUAAAAACACAUCUCAUUCAGCUGCAGCCACUGACUGGGAGAAACACAUGCCGUUCUGUGUGUAAACCAACAAGGAAGAUGUGUGAUGUUGCUCCUGUGAAGACAAGCGUCUCUGCUUUGACCUGUUGAAGCCGGUUGAAACACCCAACAUCACCAUGUAUUACAUUUGCGUAUUCAGAACAUUUCAGUGUUUUUGGCUCAUAUCAGAGUGGAUUGCUUGUGAACCAGCCACAAUAUCACUCAAGCUUUGCAAAGGAACUGAAAGAUGUGGCAGUUAAACACUACCAGAACUAUUUCUGGGUUGAAAUAUGACCUGUGAAAUGCACCUGUCGAUUCUUCUGAAAUGCUUCACAUUAGACCAGUGUUCACAACUCUGAAACAUUAUAUGUGCAGAGCAGAUGGCAGGAGGGACAGCCUGGGUGAAAACACAUACAAUCAUCUAUCAAGUCUCUUCAAGAACCAGGACACAUAAUCUGUCUCUUCAUUUAUCAUUUCUGUGUUUUAAAGUAUAUACCAGAUGUUUAGAAAUUCAUCCAAUACACAGUGUAACAGUUCAUGCACAGAUGGUACACUAAACAACAUGAAAGCACAUGUCUGGCUGAGCAGCCUUUCAGGUUAUGUCAAUAUAGGACUUGUUUCACUGUAGAUAUAGAUACUUGUCUACCUGUUUCCUCCAGCAUCUACAAGGUCCUUUGCUGUUGUUCUGGGAUUGAUUUAGACUUUUCCCACCAAACUACGUUCAUCCCUAGGAGACAGAAUGUGUCUCCUUCCUGAGCGGUAUGAUGGCUACGUGGUUUGGAAAUUGCUCCCAAGGAUGAACCAGACUUGUGGAGGUCCACAUUAUUUUUUCUGACAUCUUGGCUGAUUUCUUUUGAUUUUCCCAUUAUGUCAAGCAAAGAGGCACUGAGUUUGAAGGUAGGCCUUAAAAUACAUCCACAGGUACACCUCUAAUUGACUCCAAUUAGCCCAUCAGAAGCUAAUUUGCUAAUUGCCUAAAGGCUUGACAUAAUUUUCUGGAAUUUUCCAAGCUGCUUAAAGGCACAGUUAACUUAGUAAAUGUAAACUGACCAACUGGAAUUGUGAUAUAGUCAAUUAAAAGUGAAACAAUCUGUCUGUAAACAAUUGUUGGAAAACGUACUCGUGUCAUGCACAAAGUAGAUAUCCUAAACGACUUGCCAAAACUAUAGUUUGCUAAUAUGAAAUGUGUUAAGUGGUUAAAAAUAAGUUUUUAUGACUUCAACCUAAGUGUAUAUAAACUUCUGACUUCAAAUGUAUAUCAAGGUGGGGACCCACCAUUGACUUCUAUUGUUUUAUUUUUUGCUAUGCCAUCAGCCCUACCCCCAAACCUAAUUUAACAGAAACCUUUUUGCAUUUUUAGAUUUUAAAGCAUUAUUAAGUCCCCCCUGCCCACAACUAAGGUGAGCUCAGGUUUUACUAUCAUUGUGGGAACGUUUCGGUAUCAACAUUUCAGUGUCAAUGAACAUAGCAAGGCUGGACCCACACACACACCCAAUGUUCUCGUGUUUUCUUGUAUCACUGUGAUACCACAGCUAGCUGAAACACACAAUACAUGAGGCUGGAGAGUGAAAUAUCUGCUGUGUGUAGGCCUGUUGCAAUUAUUAAAUAAUCAUCUGAUCACAGUUAUUUGAUCUAACCGUGGUUAUUUGAGACAACCAUGAUUAUUGUGCACUUCAAACUCCAAUCACAUUUUAAUGUCCAAAUAAGGGAAUUUUAAGUGAAAAUAUAGUCUAAAUGUCAUCAAUGGUGCAUUUCUGUGUCACCGAGCAUCACUGAACAGCACCGUGGAAGCCAUCCGAAGAUCAUGUGAACCGCUUCUCUCACGCGCUCUGAUGUGCGCGCCGUUAGCAGACGCACGCCAAACUCCCGUAAAAAUAUAAUUAAACAAAUAUAAAUUUUGAUAGUGAAUGCAAAGCGCUCUGGCUUCACUUUAAACGAUCGUGUAAUGGCAAAUGUUUCUGGUCACUGUGAGUUCAUAUAUAUGAAGAGUUAAUGGCACGCAGUGACACAGAGAAGACGCAUGCUUAGUCUGUUUCUGUGGAGUGAUAAAAUGAAACGAAAUAUCAAAAGUUUUGCUUCAUGAGAAAUAAGGGAUCGUGGGUUUAAUCAAAGUGCAUUAAAAACGUGUGAAAUUGAAGAAAUUACGACAUAAAUAUUUACUAUUGCAUAAUACAAAAUAUAUAUAUAAAAUUUACAAUAUAAAAUACAGGAGUUCCAAAACAGCAGUGUUAAUAAACCUCACCAAAAGUUGACCAAAAAGAGAGACAUUUUAAAUAUUUUGAUAUUUAAACGUUAUUUUUCAUGUCAUUUACAAGUUUUUAAAGGCUUAAGGAAAUAAUAUAUCCCUAUUUUAUUAUCUGAUUUAUAUCUUUGAAAUGAAAUAUGAUAAUUUAUAUGACAAUUAAUAGUGAAAGCCCUAAAAUAGACAUUUAAAUCAUCAUAUUCGCAAUUAUUUGUUUGACAAUUAAUCGUCAGUCAAACUUCAUAAUCGUGACAGCCCUAGUUGUGUGUCUGUGUGUGUGUGUGUGUGUGUAUAUAUGUGUGUGCGUAUCCAUCAUUGUGGAGAUCAACCAACAGUCCCCACAAGAAAAACAGCUUAAUAAACACACCAAUAAUGUAUUAAUAGACAUGUAAAAUGCAGAAAAGUUUCGGCAGGGUUAGAUUUAGUUGUAGAAGAUAGUAAAUAUUAUUAUCUCAGGAUCUAAAAAAUAGAAGUGAAUGAAAAAUCUCUACAUGACAAAAAAACAAAUGUGUGUGUCAGUGUGUGUAUAUCUGAGACUGGUAGUAUGAAUACAUCUAUGAGUGCUGAUAUCAUCAUUGACAUCAUCCUCAAUUUCUGUAAAAUACACCACAGGCAUUUGUCCACAGAUGGAUACUCCUGUGCUAAAACGUUAAACCAACAAAUACUAAAUCCAAACCCUCAGCAAACCAUAAAACGAGCACUUUAAUGCAUAACUGACCCACAAAGCAAAAGAUGGUAUAAGACGAAUUAAAUGAAGGAACAAUAGCCAUUAGAAAACCCUAAAAAGAACAGCCACAUGCUUAACGGAGUGUCCUGGUCAACCUGACAUUCAAAUGAUCAUGAACACUCUCAGUAUGUCAUCAGUUACAAGGCUACAUUGCAUAAUUUGCAGUUAAGAAUGACAUGACUUUGAACUUCUAUUGAAAAUCAAAUGAUAGGAGUAAAUAAAUUAAAAAAAAUAAAUAAUAGUCUGCCACUAAACAAAUGUUUGCUUACUACAGGUGUUUUUAGGUCAUUUUAAUACACUGCAUUUAUCACUUGGCUGUUAGGCCUAAAUACACAACAGCACAUUCCUAGUCAGUCAGUCAGUUUAAGCCGUACAUCUGUGUGUGUGUGUGUGUGUUUGGCGAACUCCAUCUCUCCCAGACAGAUUACUGCAGAGUUUAAACACUCCUGCAGAGAUUUACAUGCGCCAACGUCCAUGUGUAAGCACGUCCAACUACGGAUUUACAGUGGAACUGAAAUGCCAGCUAAUAAAAUCUCUGGGAUUUCCAUUCAGUGCAACGUAUCAAAAGGGAAAAAGACAUUUUCCCAUUGCUGUCCUGACAACCAGACGUCAGCACAGCGAUAAAUUUAUCACCCUCUAAAAUUUGCUAUGCCUUGCAAAAGACUUUCUAUCCUGAACAAAGCAAAAAAGGAGAACUCUCAAACAAAUCCUUGUCUUUGUUAUUUAGAAAUCUCUCAUGAGAUUAUGCUGUUUUGUAAGACAUCAGAGAGACAGCCAUUAGCCCACAUGAGGAUAAAUUCAUGCAGAAAUUGUUAAAACACAGAAACAGAUGUGUGCUCAAUGGAUGGUCUACUAUAUCAGCCAAACGGGCUCAUAAUACUGUGAAAUCCAAGGAGCUUUGAAACUCAAUGAAUUUACAGUACAAUGUGAUUUUUCCAUUUUCUGAAGAAAACGCAAGUUGUUAUUGCCUGUGGAAAAACUCAUUAUGAUGCCAUGGUGUUCUAUGUGGUUGCACAUAGAAAAAAAAGUGUUCCAAGUUGUUUUUAACAUGUUGCUAUGUCUGCAAAUUCUCUAUGAUAUUCUGGUCCCUACACACGACUUGGGUGCCUCCUUCAAAGUCUAUGGGACUUUUUCACCUGUUUUAACUCCUGCCAAGCAAAAACCCUUUGUCUGAUUGCUUAGAAAAGUAAUACCACACCUUUCCUCAAACAUCUGCAUGAUUUGAAGUCAUUCAUGUCUGUAGUACAAAUCAUGUGGAAUGAGAUACACACCAAAGCUUAAUACUCAGGGUAACAGGUUUUUAAAAAUGUCUAACCCAAGUAUGAAUAACAGUAAUAGUGAAGCAUUCGUUGGAGCCGUACAGUCAGAAAUGUGAACUGAGGAUUCAAACACACACACAGACAGCUGGAGCGUGCCUAGUUUUCCAGACCGCACCUCAUGCCCUGAGACCACAUGACUCAAACCCUGAACAACAUUCUGAACCAACUCACACAGAGAUGCAGAAUUCUCUCUCUCUCUCUCAUCAGAACCUCAGCUAACCUCAUAUGCUGAACAUCUGCCUCUGAUUACAGACUACGGGUGUGUGUGAGCUCUCUACAGCUGUGUUCUUUGAGAUGGUUGAGAUUGUGCGUGUGUGCGUGUGUGUGUGUGUGUGUGUGUGUGUGUGUGAAAACCUGAUGCACUGCCAUAUUAAUGGAAAAGUUGUAAAAUUUGGUCAUCAUUCACUCACCCUCAUGCUGUUCCAAACCAAUUUGACUUUCUUUCUUUAAUGGAAGACAAAAGGAGAUGUUGUUAGCCUGUAUGUUUGUAUCAGUCACAAUUCACUUUCAUUGCAUCUUUUUUUUUUUUUUCCAUACAAUGCAAGUAAAUGAUGACUGGGACUACUGCCUAACAUCUUUUGUAUUCCAUUGAAAAAAGUGUAAAAUGUCCACUGGAGUUGGACAAAUCUUCUCAAUACCACCUAAAAUGCAUAGGUCUGCUGUUUUGGGGUAAUGUCUGUAAAGUGUGAAGCAAGUGUGGUCUUUUAUUGCUUUCAAUACAUGGUCAAAA